rnacentral:misc_RNA from 1 species
UACGGAGGGUGCAAGCGUUAUCCGGAAUUACUGGGCGUAAAGGGCGUGUAGGCGGUUUGUUAAGUCCGAUGUUAAAGACCGGGGCUCAACCCCGGCACGGCGUUGGAUACUGGCAAGCUUGACGGCUGGAGAGGAAAGUGGAAUUACCAGUGUAGCGGUGGAAUGCGUAGAUACUGGUAGGAACACCCAUUGCGAAGGCAGCUUUCUGGACAGCACGUGACGCUGAGGCGCGAAAGUGUGGGGAGCAAACCGG